rnacentral:rRNA from 1 species
CACGGGGGGAGCAAGCGUUGUUCGGAAUUACUGGGCGUAAAGGGCUCGUAGGCGGCCAACUAAGUCGGAUGUGAAAUCCCCAGGCUUAACCUGGGAACUGCAUCCGAUACUGGAUGGCUUGAAUUCGGGAGAGGGAUGCAGAAUUCCAGGUGUAGCGGUGAAAUGCGUAGAUAUCUGGAGGAAUACCGGUGGCGAAGGCGGCAUCCUGGACCGAGAUUGACGCUGAUGAGCGAAAGCGUGGGGAGCGAACAGG